GAUCCGCCGUUUUCCUAUCUUCAGCAAAGGGAACUCACACAAAACCUAGGCUUCAUCAUCUUCCUCAAAUAAAACCCUAGAGGACCCCAAUCUUGAAGACCAAGAAACCAUUUCCAUGGUUUUCGGCUGAACCAAAACAACACCUCAAGCCCAUCAGCGAUCCCCACUAGCCCCACCCAUCUCCAGAUCUCUCUCUCACAAGGGGAAGCAGCCCGUCGCCCUCACCAAGCUCACUCUUAUCACCAUCGUUUCCACCUUCAACCAAACCGGCCACCACGCACAGAACCCUCCUCCGCACGAUCGCAGAACAUCUUCAAACCAUCGUCUUCAAAUCUGAUUGUGGACCACCAUCCUUCAGCUUCCUCCCUUAAUAGCUGCAUCUCUCUUGUUUUUUUGGGUCUCAUCGCCAUCGCCAGCGGGUCCUCAGCAAUGUCUAUUUCCAUUUAAUGCUAGUCGUUUCAAGCUGCCCUGUUAUUGACUUGAGGUUUAAAGAUGCCAUACUACGAAUAUAAGAAAUGGUCGUGAUUUCAUGGGGGAUUUUGUCAAUUAAUAUGGUCGCUGGUGAGGUUCUGUUUAAUGGUUCUGGUCCCGUUUGAGAUUUCCGACGAGACAUUCCAAUAUUGAUCUUGUCCGUGGUUUUGAAAUUUCAGAUUUUGCUACUGAGGUCCAAUUCUCUACCUUGUUGCCUUAAUAUUUUUAUCUAUUGGAAUGAAAAUGGCAUGGAUUUCCUAUGAACUGUGUGUUAUUUUGUUGAAUUGCUUGUGACUAUACCAUCGAUAUUAUUACCUAUUAGAAUUGUUGUUGCAUGUUUGUUUAAUCUCUGGUUCUUACUAGUUUGCUAAGAGUAUCAGAUCUUCACUUUACUAAAUUUGUUUCAUCUUGAGCACAAUACUUUUAAAGGUGUUAGUAAUUCUCAAAUAUGUUUCCUUUGUAAAUUCGUUGACUUCGUUGGUGAGUUAUGGAUUGAAAUUGUUCCUUCUGUUGCUUUUCGAGGUUUUAAUUAUAUUCCGUUGUUGUACAUAUUGUGAAAAAAUUGGUUUGGCUUAAACUAAUCAGAAAAUAGCUUGACUGUAGGAGUAAUUGGAGCUAAAAGGACACAAGCAUUAAAAUCCUUAGAGAUCGAGGUGCGCUCGCGUGACAUGAUUAUGAUUCUAAAAAAACCGGAGUAUACGUUCGCGCAACCUCGGCUAAAUUUUUCUUAAUAAUAAUAAAGUGUUAUUAAUUAUGGACACGUUCGCAUGACACAAUUUUUGACACGCCGAACAAACAGGUACACGUACGGUGACCAGUUUCUAGAUAAUUUUUAAUCAAAAGGGGGAAAAUGCACAUAGGUCCUAAAAAUGAGUAAUUACACAUUUUGAUUAAGCCAAGUAUGAUCAAAGCGACCAUGCUAGAUACACGGAACCCGGGAAUGCCUAGCACCUUCUCCCAGGUUAACAGAAUUCCUUACCCAGAUUUUUGUGUUCGUAGACCUUAAUUGAGAGUCAAUUUCCUCGAUUCGGGAUUCUAAACCGGUGACUUGGGACACCAUAAAUUAUCCCAAGUGGCGACUCUGAAUUUUAAUAACAAAUAAUCCCAUUUCGAUUGUCACUUUAAGUUGGAAAAAACUCCCUUAUACUCAUUUCCCUUUCGGGUGGAGGUAAAAAAGAGGUAUGACAUCAUGUUAUGGCGGUAACUACAAGAAGUGGACGAGGCGGUGAUGUGAAUGCCUCCAAACAAAAAGAAAUUUUGAGUGAUGAAGUUGAAUUGCAAGAAGAUGAGAUUCCUUUGGUGGUUGAAAAUAUGAUUGAUGAGAAUGUGAAUGAGGACAUGAGGAUUGAUAUCCAAGAUAUUGAGGUGGAAACUCAAAAUGAUGUGAACUCGUCUAGGGAACACGUAAUAGACAUGCCAAAACCUGUUGUGCCUAAAACCAAGGCUCCUUUGCCAAGGCCACCUCUACCUUAUCCUCAAAGGCUCGUUAAGCAGAAAAAUGAGAAUCAGUUUAAGAAGUUUAUUGACAUGAUGAAGAGCUUAUCCAUUAAUGUGCCUUUGGUGGAGGCUUUAGAGAAAAUGCCGAGUUAUGUUAAAUUCAUGAAGGACUUGGUGACAAAGAAAAGAUCCAUAGAUUGUGAAACUAUCAAGAUGACCCACAAAGUUAGUGCAAUAGUGCACUCAUGGCCCCGAAGCUAUAAGAUCCCGGUGCUUUCACCAUUCCUUGCACCAUUGGGAGUGUGGACUUUGCAAAAGCUCUAUGUGAUUUGGGGGCAAGUAUCAACUUGAUUGCCUACUCAGUUUUCAAGACUUUGGGUAUUGGGCAACCAAGGCCGACUUUCAUGAGAUUGCAAAUGGCGGAUAGAACUAUGAAGAGACCAUUGGGUAUUAUUGAUGAUGUUCUUGUUCGGGUGGACAAAUUUAUCUUGCCAGCUGACUUUGUAAUCUUGGAUUGUGAGGUAGAUUAUGAGAUUCCAAUCAUAUUGGGAAGACCUUUCCUUGCUACUGUGAAGGCCUUAGUUGAUGUGGAAGUAGGGGAACUCACCUUCUGGGUGGGUGAUAAGAAAGUGGUCUUUUAUAUCUGCAAGUCAAUGAAGCAGCCCAACAGUUCUGAAGAUAGUUGAUGAUACCAGUGUAAUGAUCAAUGUGGAGGACCUUCUAGAAGAAAUUUUGUUGAAUUUUGUAAAUGAGGAUGAUGGCCGAGUGGAGUGCGUGAAUGCCUUACAUGGAAUGGGCUCUUAUUCUUAUGAGCCUAGGAAACUCUCUUUGGAUAUUGAGAAUAGGAAGACUACACCAACAAAACCUUCAAUCGAGGAACCCCUAGUGUUGGAGUUGAUAUCGUUGCCUCCACACCUCAUGUAUGAAUUCUUAGGCCCUAGUUCAACUUUGCCAGUUAUUAUUUCCUCUUGUCUUACUAACAUGCAGGUUGAUGACACAUUGGCGGUGCUUCAAAAGCAUAAGAAGACAAUUGGAUGGACCUUAGAUGAUAUUCGAGGGAUAAGCCCUGCAUUCUGUAUGCACAAUAUUAUUCUGGAAGAUGAUGCAAAGCCCUUCUUGGAAUAUCAAAGGAGGUUGAACGAGGCAAUGCAAGAAGUUAUAAAAAAGGAGGUGAUCAAGUGGUUGGAUGCCGGGGUUGUGUACCCCAUCUCUGAUAGCUUUUGGACUUCGCCGGUGUAAAUGUGUGCCGAAGAAGGGUGGUAUGAUCGUGGUUAUAAAUUCGCAGGAUGAGUUGAUUCCAACAAGAACUGUCACCGGGUGGAGGGUAUGCAUGGACUACCGCAAGUUGAAUAAAUUGACCUGCAAGGAUCACUUUCCAUUGCCUUUUCUUGAUCAGAUGUUAGAUCGACUUGCUGGGCGUGCCUUCUACUGCUUCUUGGAUGGGUAUUCUGGGUACAACCAAAUUUUGAUUGCUCCGGAAGAUCAGGAUAAGACCACCUUCACUUGUCCAUAUGACACCUUUGCCUUUUCUAGGAUGCCAUUUGGGUUGUGUAAUGCACCGGCUACAUUUCAGUAGUGUAUGAUGGCCAUUUUCACCGAUACGGUGGAAGAUAUUUUGGUGGUGUUCAUGGAUGACUUUAGUGUUAUGGGUGAAUUGUUUGAUGAAUGUUUAAGAAAUCUUGAUAGAGUGUUGGACCGUUGUGAAGAAACCAAUCUUGUUAUUAAUUGGGAGAAAUGCCAUUUCAUGGUUGAGGAGGCCAUAGUUCUUGGGCAUAAAAUUUCAAAGCAUGGUAUAGAUGUGGAAAAAGCAAAAAUAGAUGUGAUUUCAAAGCUCCCUCCCCCUACUUCUGUCAAGGGAGUUAGAAGUUUUCUUGGGCAUGCGGGGUUCUACCGGAGAUUUAUCAAAGACUUUUCGAAGGUAGUAAAUCCCUUGUGCAAGUUAUUGGAAAAAGAUGCCAAGUUCGUGUUCGAUGAGAGAUGUAUGCAAGCUUUUGAACUUCUCAACCACAAGUUGACCACCACUCCUAUUAUUAUCGCACCCAAUUGGAGCUUGCCUUUCGAGCUUAUAUGUGAUGCGAGCGAUGUUGCGGUUGGGGCGGUCUUGGGUCAAAGAGUGAACAAAAGUUUUCAUCCGAUGUACUAUGCGAGCAAGACAAUGAAUGAUGCUCAAGUGAACUACAGGUGGCUGAGAAAGAGCUUUUGGCUAUUGUGUUCGCGAUGGAGAAAUUUCGACCAUAUCUCAUGGGUGCCAAGGUCAUAGUUCACACCGAUCAUGUCGCACUCUGGUACUUGAUGAUGAAGAAGGAUUCCAAAGCUAAAAUGAUGCGAUGGGUCUUGUUACUUCAAGAGUUUGAUUUGGAGAUUGUGGACCAGAAGGGUAGUGAAAACCAAGUGGCGGACCACUUGUCUCGGUUGGAGGAGGAGGGGAGGCCUCGUGAUGGCGUAGAGAUCAAUGAUUCAUUUUCCGAUGAGCAACUCCUUUCUGUAUCGCUGAAUGGUAUGCCAUGGUUUGCGGACGUUGCUAAUUUCCUUGUGACUGGUAUAAUCCUGUGUGAGCUCUCUUCUAACCAAAGGAAGAAGCUCAAACGGGAUAGUUUGGACUUCUAUUGGGAUGAGCCGUACUUGUUCAAGUUCUGCACGGAUGGUGUGAUCCGAAGGUGUGUCUCGGAGGAGGAACAAUUAAGUAUCUUAGAGGCUUGUCAUUCGUCUCCCUAUCGUGGCCAUCAUGGCGGGGCGAGGACGGCUUCCAAAGUUCUUAGUUGUGGGUUUUAUUGGCCAACAUUGUACAAAGAUGCAAGUGAACUUGUGAAGAGAUGUGACGAAUGUCAAACAGCGGAUGGAAUUUCAAAGAAAGAAGAGAUGCCUCUCAAUACCAUUCUUGAAUUUGAAAUUUUUGAUGUAUGGGGCAUUGAUUUUAUGGACCCUUUUGUUAGCUCGUAUGGGAACACAUACAUUCUUGUGGUGGUUUACUAUGUUUCAAAGUGGGUUGAAGUCGUGGCUUUACCCAACAAUGAGGCCCGGAGUGCUAUUACAUUUCUCGAGAAGAGCAUUUUUACAAGGUUUGGCACUCCUCGUGCAAUCAUAAGUGAUGGGGGGUCUCAUUUUUGUAAUAGAGCUUUUGACACUUUGCUUGCAAAGUAUGGUGUCAAUCACAAAGUUUCUACUCCUUAUCAUCCUCAGGUGAGUGGGCAAGUUCAAGUCUCAAACAGGGAAAUCAAGAGUAUAUUGUCAAAGACGAUCAAUGCAAAUAGAACUGAUUGGCCAAAGAAGUUGGAUGAUGCUCUAUGAGCUUAUAGGACUACUUAUUGACUACGAUUGGUAUGUCUCUAUAUCAGUUGGUGUUUGGGAAAGCUUGCCUUCUACCGGUUGAGUUAGAUCACAAGUCUAUGUGGGCUUUGAGGAAGCUGAAUCUUGAAUGGGAUAUGGCAGCAAAUCUUCGUUUGGAGCAGCUUAAUAAACUUGAUGAAUUCCGAUUCCAUGCCUACUCCAAUUCAUCCUUGUACAAGGACAAGAUGAAGUACCUUCAUGAUAAAUAUGCUCGUAACAAGGAGUUCAAAGUGGGUGAUUUGGUUCUCUUGUUCAAUUCUCGGUUACGUCUGUUUUCGGGAAAGUUUAAGUCGAAAUGGAGUGGACCUUUUGAAGUGGUGUUUGUUACUCCGUUUGGUGCACUUGACUUGAAGAACAAAAAUGGGGAGAUUUUCAGAGUUAAUGGGCACAGGGUCAAGCACUACUUGGGAAAAAUUGAUGACAGUCACGUGGUGGCACUACUCCAUCUAAAGUGAUUUGAUAGUAACCUGCGGCGUGCCACGACGUUAAAUCAGGAGCUUCUUGGGAGGAAACCCAUAUGUCUUUCUUUUUGUUUUUGUUUUUUUUAUUUUCUUUGUAGUAUAGGAUUUGCUUUUGGACUAACUGGUUGUGAGAUGUGUGUAGGAUUAUUUUGAUGCAGUGCAGGACCAAGUUGGGAAAAAUGUGCACUCUCUGAAGUUUGCACUGCGGCCGCAUUGCAUUUCUUGUGGCCUCAAUAGCCUCAGUGCGGGGGAAACAUUUCAAUGCGAUCCACAUAGUUGAUUGGUCAAAAAAUGGGGUUCUCUGAAGUUUUCCACCACGGCCGCAGCAAUGCAAUUUGUGCGGUCCGCGGUGGACCACUGCGGUCGCACAACAUUUCUUGCGGUCUUCUAUGGAAGUCUCCCCAGUGCCUCAUAUUUCUGAUUACCGCAGACCGCGGUCCCAUUUUUUGCGAUCCGUGGUGGGUAGGUGUAGUGGGUCCCAGGUUCUUUUUCUAUAAAUAGGACCUCAGGACCUCAUUUCAAACUUUUCGAUCCUUUGCUCUCAAUAGUAAAAAAAGUAUAGUUCAUCACGCCUAGCUGUACGAAUUUAAUUGCUGAGUAUCAUUCAUCUACAUUGCAUCUCAUUUAUGGUACUUUUAAUCUUUCCCAAGAUUUUAAAUGUGUUUUAUUUUCUUUUUUAAAUAGUUAGUUCUACGAUUCUUCUUCCCUUUUUCUUUAAUUUUCUAGGUUAGGGUUUCAUAAGUUUUUUAGAUUAGGACUAAAUAGUUAAAAAUACUGAUUGAUCACCUAGGGGAUCAAUAGUAGGUAAAAAAUAGACUAAAAAUAUGAAGAAAUUUGAAACCCUUGGUUGGUGUAGCUGGUAUAACUUACAACGGUCCAUGGUGGAUUUAUUAUGGUCUGCGGUGCUUCUCCGCAGUCCGUAAUGACAUUUUGUGCGGACCGUGGUGGUGAAACUUCUGAAAGUUGAGAAUUGAGAACCGCAGUCGCGAUGGAUUUUCUAUGGUCCAUGGUGCCUUAAUGCGGACCGCGGUACCAUUUUGUGCGGUCCGCAGUGGACUUUAUCAGAGAGUGGAUAGUCUGACCCCCACCUCAAUGCGGACCGCGAUGCUAUUUUGUGCAGUCCGCGGUGGUCCCUUUGCGGCCGCACUGCAUUUUGUGUGGUCCGCAGUUUGCAACUAUUUUCUUUUGUAUCUGCAAUUGUUUUCCUUUUUUAUUCUUCUGAUACUGUGAUACUAACAAGCUUCAACUGAAUUCCACUUAUAGACAAUGGUUCAAUCACGAGGCGGUGGUAGAAAAUAACAGGGAAAAGGAGAGUCCUCUCGAGGUAGAGGACAAGGCAUGAUAAAAUUGACUCCCAAUUCCGGCAAGCUAUCAAAAAUACCAGGAAGAUAAUAAGGACUGCUGAUAGAGUUGUUUCCCAUUCGGCGAGUGAGUAUGUGCCCUCCUAGGAAGCGUCCAACUUAGACUCCGUGCCAGAAUAUGUUCCUGACUGGCCGGAGAGGCACAAAUUGAGAGAUACACCUCCAAGCUCUCCUACUGCCCAAAUGUCAGUGCAAAUUUCUUCUGAGUCGUCUCAGGGUUUAGCUGCGGGAAGUGACAGUGCCUCUUCUACCUCACCUACAUCUUCAAUACCCGGUAAGGAUCCCGUAAAAGAAGAAGGAGGGGGUGAGCCCCAACUAGGAGGAGUAAAGAGAACUAGGAAACCGGAAUCAUGGCAAUAUAGGUUUGUGAGUAAAGUGGCCUACCACAAGUUCGGAGAAUGGUGGCCCGAGAGGAAGUUGAUACCUGAGCGGAAAUUUAUUACAAAGGACCUUUUGCCUCACAACCCCAAUGUGCUGAGGCAACUCAGAGAGAGAGAGCAGGUUGGGACUAUUUUAUAGGCCACGUGGAGGAUGCCAAUGAGCACUUAGUCAAGGAGUUCUACACCAAUAUAGCCCACAUCAAAAAGGGCACUACAAUGGCUAAGGUGCGAAAUCUAAAAAUAAAGUUUGAUGGAAAAACGAUCAAUGACUACCUGGGCUUCCUAGAGGAGGAUGAGACAUUGUACUUAGAGAAAGUAGCUUUGGGUGAGGAUGCUCGUCCGUGGUUAGCAGAGUACUUGGCAAUCCCAAGUACCACCCCAGCAUGGUUAACAACAGGAGUAAAAAUUUUGAGGAGAACCCUGAACUUCGAAGCAAAAGGGUGGGAGACAUUUGUAUGGAGCAGGCUAGACCCCACCACUAAUGAGAACUCUCUUCCUAUCUCCUGGACAAUUCCAGUAGCUUCUAUCAUGGCGGGGUACGCGAUCAACAACGGGAAUAUGAUGUCGAGGGUGAUCACACGGGUGGUCAAUGAAGGUGAUAGAUCAUACCCCUUCCCAAAUUUCUUGUCCAUGUACUUUGAGGAUCAGGAUGUAGAAAAAAGGAGAUUCGAUGUGAAGAUGAAGCCAAAGGCCCCCUUUUCCGGGUACAACCUACAGGGUGAUGGCAACCCCAAAGGCAAAGAUUCGAAAGGCAAAUCCAUUGCUUCUACUAGCCAGUCUGAAGAGUCAGUAGUAGUAGUGGCUCCUACGUAGCCUCUUUCAGCCAUCCCGCACAUGACCUCAGGACCCUCCACUUAUAUAGUUCUAGAUAUCCCCUCAUCCGCAACAUACCCUUUGACUGCCACCGCUUGAGCCAGACCCUUGCCAUUAUCAACAACUGGAUGUAGGCAGCCACUUCUAAGUUGUCUGUACUUUUACCUCGGUGGCAGUCCAGUCGGUACCCCCUCAGCCGCAGGUCCCACAGUCAGUGGAAGACACUCUCAAGGAGCUUUUGGAAAACCAGAAGAAGCUCCUAGAGAACCAGCAAUUAAUAUUGGAUGCUGUGGGUUCUCAUGGCAAAACAUUAAACUAGUUGACCAAAGAAACAAAGAAAUUGAGAAAGACUCGGGCAUCCAAGGAGUCGGUGAAAGAGAUGAGGGUGGAGGUGGAGAAAUUGAAGGCUGGUCACUUGCCUUUAGACCUUUUAUUGCAUGACUCGGCUCCAGCAGCCCAACCAGAGCAGGAGAAGGAGACAACGAGGCCAGCAAAGAGGAAGAGGGUGAUUCCCCAUGCUGAUGAUGCUGUGAUAGAGUUAGAGGAUUUGCAGGGAGGAUCCUCUAGCCAGCCUCAGGCCCCAAUGCAGGCCCAGAACCCAGUACAGGUCCUAGUGGAGACACAGGUUAUAGGGAGCCAGUCACAGGUUCCUGAGCAUUCCGAGGACCCAGGGACCCAGACUCAUGAUCCUAUACAGACGGAGGGCCAAUAGGGAGCUUCUUUUUACUCUCUAUAUUUUAUUUUGAGCUAUUUUUGGUUAGAUAGCAUUGAAGACAAUGCUAGCACUCAUUUGGGGGGGGGGGGGGUAGGCCCUAUUUUGGAUGAUUUGGGUUGUAUAUAUGACAUUACUUUCUUUUUAUUAUGCUUUCUUUUUACUUUUGGUAUGUACAUAAUUUUACCAUUUUAGUUCACUUUUUGUACUUUGCAACUUUGGUCUGUAUAUAAAGCUACUUUCUGAUGUAUAUAUUCAUUCCCCCUUAUGUUUAUUCAUCUAAAUCCCCUCUUGUACAUAUUCAUUCUACUUUCCGCAUUUUUUCUUUCAUAGCUUCUUAUUUCAUUUUGAUAGCUUCUUAUUUUGAGUUUUGCGUUCAAUAAGCCUUUGGUUUUCUUAAUGCCACGGUUCUUUCCAAAGGUGGAAUUUGUGUGAACCGGUUGGUUCUUCCCGAUGAUGGAUGGCAUGACAACCUUCUUAAGGGUUUGAGUCUGUUUUCUUUUGCUUUUUGUGUAAAUAAUAGCUAUUUAGUAAGGGUGCCUCAAGCAAAGCUUCACUUGGGUCUAACACAUUUUCCUUUGAUCCUAUGGUCAAUAACAAAUUGUUGUGUAUAGGAUGGUAAAAGUUGUGACCUUGAGACUCUUGUAUUGGCCGAUAAUCAUCAAGUGGUUUUUCGGGACCAUUCAUUUUGCUCAAAUCUUAGCUAAGGUUGUUAUGGGCCCCCGACUGUCUCUUUAGGAAUCCUAUAGCUUGUGUGGUGAGAAUUUGAAGUGCAAGUCCAAGUCCUGAGCCAUUAGUCUAGAACUUGCCAUGAAUGUUUGUCUAGGAGAAAUUCUAAGUGUAGUUUGACUUGAGAUAUGAUUAUAGGCUCUCCUUGAUCCAAAUUAUGUCUUGAAAACUUCCAUAGCCUACCAAUGAUAAUAUCCCUAGUCAACCCUUUUGAGCCAUAGACCUUUUUCUUUCAAAAAACUACGAUACAAGCCAUUACCCGUUCUAAAAAUACCCUCUCUUAGCACCCGAUCUUUCCUUAGCACGAGGCAAAUGUAUAAGGUUGGGGGGAGGGACGAGGAAUAAAAUAAAGUGGUAAAAAAGGUACAAAAUGAAGAAAAAGAAAAAUCAAUGAAAAAGAAAGAAAAUCAAAAAGUCAAAAAGAAUGCUCAAUGUAGAAAAAUGAAGGGAUUCAAUAAAAGUAAAGAGAUGAAAGGUGUGGAAAGUUGAGAAAGGAGAAAAAUGUUUAAUAUGAACAAGAAAGAGUGACAGUGUGUCUCUCUAACCCCUAAGAAAGAAGUUAAUGACUCAAAAAGUCAAGAUAAUGUGUGCCAAAAUAAAACAAAUGAAGUGCUUAAGGGAAGAUGGAACCCACCUAGACCAAAUAUUUCCUACCCUAAACCAAAAUCCUUCACUAUAUCUCCACAAAACCCCUAUAUGAUCUUGAGUUGAAUGAAGCAUACAUUAGUGGUGACUCACAAAAGUGGCAAGCUUAUGGUACUUAGAGCCGGACUUGUGACCUUUCUUUGAGAGAGAUGAGUGUAUUUUUCACAAUUCCUAGUUCUGAGUGCUACAAUCUAAAAGUGAGGGUUGCUUAGGGAAAGUUUAGGAGUAUGAGUUUGGGUUCCACAAUGACCAAAGUAGUAGAAAGAGUUUCUUUGAUGGGUUGAGUCAACUCUUGAUGCUCUUGUGUCGCACUAAAACCAUGGUGCUUCGAAGGUCGAAUGUUGUUAAGGAUACAUUUGAAUUGAGGGCAAUUGUUAGUCCCAAUUGAUGCUAGAUGAGGUCACUUUAGGUCAAGUGAAUUUGCUUGGAUUUACUAUUAAUAGGUGGGUCUUAUUUUGUUUGCUUGAGGACAAGCAAAAGAUUAAGUUUGGGGGAGUUUAUAACUAGGGAUUCUAGUUCAUUUUACACUCCUUUUUACUUGAGUUUUUUGGUUAAACUAAAAUAUUUUAUUUAACCAAGUAUAUCAAUAUGUACAAAGGACUCAUUGGACUUAUGAGUCAGCUCUUAGUAAUCUCUAUAAUUAUUCUAAUUAUUCCUUAUCUAGCUAACUUCUAUAACUAUUAUCAAUAACUAGUGAUAACAUGAUUAACUCUUUAACAUCUAUACUGGGUAACUGUUCAGGCCAUCCAAUUGUUGCUGCCAUUUGACAUUCUUCUGACCAUAUAUAUGUAGUUGCAUUGUAAUCUCCUUGAUCAUCUGCCUGCUUUCUCGUCUCUGAUUUAUGAAUCUUCUUGCAUUCCUCUCAGCCCAUAUGUGGUAUAUCUUGCUGCAAAUAAGAAACCAAUGAUACCUUCUCUUGCUCGAAAGUUAUUAGUUCUCUUGCAUGCCCACAUGGCCUCAUCAUCCCAUCCUUUGACUGGUCUUUUCUCCCCUAACCAGUGUAGCAACGAGAUCCAUAUACGCUUUGAAUAAUCGCAACAGAAGAAUAGAUGCUCCAAUGUCUUUACUGCAUUUGUGUUACAUAGAACACAGUCUUGCAUCACUUUAAUUUCCCAUUUCUGUAGUCUGUCCACUGUUGAUAACUUUUUAUGAACUAUCAGCCAUAGAAUAAACUGAUGCCUAGGAAUAAUUCUUUUCACUAGGGCCAAAUUUUUCCAUGAAACCUUUGGAGAUGUAGGUAUAAAGGAUUGAUAGGCCUUCUUGAUGCUGAACUUCUCUCUAUCUUCAAAUGAUUCAAGGCUAUCCAUCACAUUCCCAGAUUGAGUCAACCAUUUCUUUGCAUCAAAUAUCUUCCUCACUAACCAGCAGGCUUGGCUUGGGGAUGGCAUAUUGUUCAGCUCCUUGCCCUUUAUGUAUAUACUAUGGAUUCAUUGAACCCACAGUUUGUCCUUCUUUUUACCCACUGCCCACUAUUAAGGCUCUUCUUGAGUAUUCAUUACUCCAGUCCACAAGAAAUUCCUGCAUACAUUUGUCACCAUAGUCAAAAUCUUCUUAGGCAAUAGGAACACUUGGGCCCAAUAUGUCUGCAUCUCGAAUAGGAACUUAGUGGUCCAAAAUUGAAUUCUAGAAAUUAUCUUUUCAACCAAGGGUAGACACUGAUGGAUAGAAAGUUUCCUUGAAUACAAUGGAAUACCUAAGUAUUUGAAUGGCAUCUCCCUAAUAGUGAAAUGCAUAUCUUGCAUUAUCUGAGCUUUAAACUCUUGUGUCACUCCUGCAGUAUAGAAUGAACUCUUCUCCAGAUUGUCCUUCAGUCUAGAAACACUAGAAAAGUGCUCAAAUUCUUGCAUCAUGAGUAGAAUAGAAACCCUGUCUGCCCUGCAACACAUCAUUAAAUCAUCCGCAAAGCAAAUAUGAACUAUUUCCUUUUUUGCACAUCUUGGGUGAUAGUUAAAAUCAAGGUUGUUCCUUAGUUGCUUGAAGGAUCUAUUUAUGUACUCCAUAUCUAUGACAAAUAGAUAUGGGGACAUGGAGUCCCCUUGUCUCAACCCUCUCUUAGCAUGAAAUAUAGAAGUUAGACCACCAUUUAGAAGCAAUGAAUAGCUGACUGCAAAAACACAAUUCAUGAUCAAAUUGACCAGCUUCUGAGGAAAUCCAAAUUCCAUCCGCACUUACCUCAGGAAAUCCCAAUUCAGAGAAUCAUAUGCUUUUUUGAUAUCUACUUUUACUAGGCAUCUAGGAGAUACUCAUUUUUUCCAUAGCCCUUCACUAACUCAUGGGCUACAAUCACAUUGUCCAGAAUAUUUCGACAUUCAAUGAAUGCAGAUCGAGAUGGACCUACCAGGUAAUCAACCAUGGGUUUUAUUUUUAUAGUUAGCACCUUUUCAACAAUCUUAUAGACAGUACUACAACAGCUAUAGGUCUGAAAUCUUUAGCAUAAGAUGGACAAGAAACCUUAGGAACCAAGGUAUUGUGGUAUAGUUUACCUCCCUUUACAGUUUGCCAUUGUCAAAAAAUUGUAAGAUGGGCUUAAUCAUGUCUUCUCCUACUGUCUCCCACUGUGCUUUGAAGAAUUCAGCUGUAAAUCCAUCUAUACUAGCGGCUUUAUCAUUUGAAAGGUCUUUAACAGCUUGGAUUAUAUCUUCUCUAGUAUCUGGUUUUAGUAAUUCCUGUUGCUGGAUCAAUGAAAGGCAUGAACCAUCUCUAGCAAUAUUAGUAUCAAUAUAAGGCAUUAGUGACACAACAUCUCCCAGCAACUGCUUAUAAUAUUCCAAAAAUUGUUGUUGCACCAAAUCUAGCUCUGAGAGAGGACUCCUUGAUCAUUGAAAAUAGAAGAUAUCUUGUUCCUGGCUUGUCUUGCUUUCAGUUGUGCAUGAAAAUACUUGGUGUUGGCAUAUCCAUAUGAUAUCCAUAUCGCUCUAGACUUCUGCCUUAGUAUUUGCUCUUGAAUUCCCAUCCACUUUUCUAACUGAGUAAGUAGUUCUUUCUUUUCAGCUAUUAACUGAUUAUUGAACAUGUCAUUGGCCAUUUGGUUCUGCACUUCCUGCACCUUCUGUUGUAAGUUUUCAACUCUAAUCUCUAUGGUAGACAUCUCUUUGUUCAUCACCCUUGUUUCACUUUGCAAUGCCUUAAGCUUCAUCAAUAGUCUAUACAUAUGGCAUCUAGUGAUGUUUUGAUCCCAACAUUGUUUUACAGCUUCCUUAAAUGAGUCCUACUUGAUUAGUACAUUGAGGAGUCUGAAAGGUCUUUUCAACUUUUGUCGAGGGAUCAAUGUUCUAAUAACAAUGGGAGUAUGAUCUGAGCAUUCUGGAUUAUAGUGAAUAGCCUCCAGAUUUCUAUAUACUUGAAACCACUUAUCAUUACCCAUCACCCAGUCAAUAUAGCUAUAAAUUCUAUCAUCUCCAUCUCUCUUAUUACACCAUGAGUAUUUCCAACCUUUUCUAUUAACUUGGCCCAGUCCAAUAUCAGUAACAAAAGAUUGAAAUUCAACUAUUUCAUUUACAUGUACUGGCAGCCCAUCUAUCUUCUGUGGAGAGAAUAGCAUUGAAAUCACCAAGAAUAAUCCAAGGCUCAAUAGUAUAAGUGCUAAUGUGCCUUAGUUCUUCCCAUAGUACCCUUCUGCCCACUGCAAUAUUGUACCCAAAUACAAAGGGCAUCUUGCAUUUGAACUGAGAGUUCUUAUCUUCAACAGAGCAGUGUACCACCUGUGGGGUACUUUUCAAAAUAGUAACAGUUACACAGCUUUAUCUCCAGCAUAGCAAUAUUCUACCAUUUGGGACUUGAGUAUUAUCAUAAUGAAACCUCCAAUCUGUAUGAAAUUUUCUAGUAUUUGUUUUGGCAUAUUUUUGUCUAACUUUUGUUUCUAGACGUCCUAUUAAGUAAAUUUUAUUCUUGAGCAAAACGUUUUUGAAUUCUUUUUGCUUAAAGAGCUUGUUUAUCCCCUAAUAUUCCAUGAUCAGAAAAUCAAGGGGGAGGUUGGGAAAUCGGACCAUCCCUCUGCAACUUUCCAGUAUUACCUUUUCUGCUCCCCUUAAUUCUUCUACUUGCAGGUUCUCCAUCUUUAAGUAUAGCUUACUGAAUUGAUUGAGAUCUAAUUCAUUAUCUGACUCUUCAUCUGUCUGUGGGAUCUCCUUACUUCCUUGAAACACUACCACUUUCUUCCCUCUAAAUUGAACUUGGGAAGGGGCAGUGUGAGUAUCACUGUUGUAGGAGUGUGAACUUGGGAAGGGGCAGUUUGAGUUUCCUCCUAGUAUAUCACUGUUGUAGGAGCUGUUGGUUUUUCUAUCUUAGCUUUUGGUUUAGGCUUCCAUACUUUCCUAGUGUGUUUAUCUUGAUUGGGAUUCUUGAUAAAGCCUUGUCGUCUGUGCUUCUAUUUUGGACAAUUCUUCUUUUGGUGUCCAACCUGCAUACACUCUUGACAUAGAGCAGGAUUCCAUUCAUACUCAAUCUUUUGGCUCCAAAUACCACCAUCUGGGACUUCAACAUUAACAUAUUUAGGUAAUAUUUGGGUGAUAUCCAUCUCAAUUAGAACUCUUGCAUAAGAUAUCCUUUCACCUUUAGCUGUUAGAACAUCAGUGCACAUAGGUUUACCUAGGAAGCUAGCAAUUCUCCCUAGGUUUUGUUCAGACCAAUAUAGGAGUGGCAAUCUAGGGAAACACACCCAUAUUGGUAAUAUACACAUUGCUUCCUUAUGCAACUGAAAUUCUGGACUCCAUUGUUUCAGAAUCAUUGGCCUAUUCCUAAAUGUGUAAGGCCCAUUUUGUAUUAUGCAGGCUUUGUCCUCUUCAGAUUCAAAUUGAAAAAAGUAGUACCCAUCAUCAUGCAGAAAGACCCUAGGUGUGUUCACAAAAUGCCAAACCCCAUAUACAAACUAAAGCAUUUCCUUGAAUUUGGGGUUCAUCCAAACACAUACCCAAUAAGCGCACAUUGCCACUUCUAUUUUUGUUUAUCAAUCUCCUGCUUAUUCAAUUGCACAACCUUGAUCCCAUCUUUCAUCACUGGAGGAUAGAAUUUGAUUUUCAUACCUUGAUUUUGUGUUCGAUUAUUCUUCACCACUUCUGCCAGUGCUGGCAUUGCAUGUGGCGUCUCUGUUGCAAAGGUCAAUUUCCGGGCAGGUUGGGUAUGAACUUCUUUUCCAUUUUUAACUUGCUGGGUUCCCUUUUGUCAGCCUAACUCUAGGUCCUUACUAACUAGCUAGCCAGCUAUGUUGGGGCCAGAUUUUGCUGUACCCCUGAAGCUGGAGUGAUUUGCCUCACUGAUUUGUCAGAUUCUGAUUUUUGGAUCGAUUCCUCUGUUGGCUGAACUUUAGGGUUCAACUCUUGUAACUUUCCAUGAGAAGAUGCUAUUUGUGUAUCCUUCUCUUCUGUCUCCUGGGGAGGGCGUUGAAUCUGAGUGGGUUUUGGAUUAGUAAUUUUUUUAGUAGUGGUUGGGGUAUAAACUUAAAGGGCUCUCCUUUUCCGACGAGCCAUGGUGGUGGUGCACGUUAGCAGACCUUGCUUAACAUACACCUGUGGACUUUCUAUCUCCUCUCUCUAAACCCCUUCCCCUCUCAAACAGAGAUCUAAGCGUACGUUCUUUUUUUUUUACUUGAGGUUUGAUUAAAAAUGUAUACAAAAUAGUCCCAAAGGCUUACAUAUUGUACCUGUUUGCAGGGUUUGGUAAAAAAGGUGACAAUUAGUCAAAACUUGCUCAAAAAGGAAUGAAACACACAAGUACCAAGAACAAGUCCAAGCAUAAUUAAAACAGAUCCACUACGGCCGCAAUCCAUCUAGUACAGUCCAUGGUGAGGAGAUGUAGAGAGGUGCAGUUUUUGGUAACUCAAGCACUGCGGCCGC
rnacentral:lncRNA from 1 species